AUGUAAUUCAAGCUCAGCAUCAGGAUUCCAUCGCUACGAUCCCUGUCCCAAUCAGGGAACAGCAAACCUCCUAGAUUUUCAUUCGUAUAUCAGUCGCAACUUCAGGACGAGUUGUACCUAAAUUGUUUACUCAAGUUCGUUUGAGCGUUCUACUGGGCCGAUUUCAAUGAUUUUUGCGACAUUUGAAAGGUGAUGGUCCGUAGAUGAGCCCGCUUUAAUCAGAUUUUGGAAAUAGGACCCAGGCUUUUUUACAAUCACGUUAUAAAUUACUUCUCUUUACAUGGAGUCAAUCGCGAAUGCGGUAAAUUAAAAUAGAGAAUUAAAAAGAAUAGAAAAGUAAAAAGAAACUCUAUCCUUGAGUUAAUUCUACUUUCAUAAACACGAUUCUGUAUAGCAAAUCUCACAAUCUGACUUCAGACUGUUUCAAACAUGUUGAGCGCCUUAUGCCAUCGUGUAGGAAUUUCAAUGUUGAUUUUUGCGACGAUUUAUCACCCAAUGUUAUUGCGUUAAGGUUUUCCUUGCAUGUAAAUUUUUCUUCUCCAUCAAUAAAUCGUUUGCAAAAAGUC